ensembl:snoRNA
GCAUGGGUUGGAUUUAUGGCAGGCCCGUCCCCCUGGGUCUUUCAUAGUGUCCCAUGCCAGAGCAAACUGUGGUCCCGAACCAUUGCCUGGCCUCGAUCUGUGGGCUACUGGCACUGAAGGGGGUUGCACAGAG